rnacentral:ncRNA from 1 species
AUAAAGUUUGAUUCUGUCUUAAUUACUUAUGAAAUUACUGAAAUUGUAUGGGAAUUAUAGUGUGUAGUUUAAAGGAGCUUUAAGUAAUUUAAAAAUAUAAUGUAAAAUUUAGAAUUUAUUAAGUUGAAGUCCCAGCAUAAAGAUUUAAAUUAAUUUGUUAAAAUAAGAUUUAGUAGUAAGUUAAGGUCUGGUUAAAUAUUGUGCCAGCAGUCGCGGUUAGACUUUAAGGCCUAAUAAGUAAUAAUUUGGUUAUGGUUAGGAUUGAUAGUAAAUGAAAAUUGGAUGAAUAAAGGGUGAAAUCGAUAAUGUUUAAUUUUUAAUCAAAAUAUUACUAAAUUUAAAGCUAACUUUUCUUAGGGUUGAACUAGGAUUAGAUACCCUAUUACACUAAGAGGUAAAUUUUAAAUAAUCUAAUUAUUUAUAGAUAUGUUCUUGAAAUUUGAAGAAUUUGGCGGUAAUUUAGUCUUGCCAGAGGAAUUUGUUUUUUAAUCGAUAAACCACGUAAAAUCUUACUCGUUUUUGUUUUUAGUUUAUAUACCAUCAUUAGCAGAUAAUCUUAGUAGAAAGAUAAUUAUUAAGUUUUAUAGAUAGCAAAAAUUAGAUCAAGGUGUAGCUAAUAAAUGAGUUAAAAUGAAUUACAGUAAACUUUAUUUAAAACGGAUUUAUUAAUGAAAUAUUAAUAAUAAAGGUGGAUUUGGUUGUAAUGAGAGUUUAAUAUGCUUUAAAGAUAUAAGUUCUAAAUUAUGUACAUAUCGCCCGUCGCUUUCAUUAUAAGGAUGAAAUAAGUCGUAACAUAGUAGAUUUACUGGAAAGUAAGUCUGGAUUAAA